CGGGUUUGGACAUGGCAAGCAGUGGAAGGAAAUUACAUGGUGCGGCGGGAGGAAAAAGAUAUCAGCUCUCAUGGUGCCAAUUGCUGAAUUCUCUACCAGAAAGAUAAUCAGAGGAAAUCAACAUAUCCUGAUGACACCAACAGGAUUUAAAACAGAUGGGGACAGAGCAAGAAGACAGCCAUCAAUGAUCCAGGAAAUGGAUUCACUGAGCCUGCUGGCUCCUUGAUCUUGGACUUCCCAACCUCCAGAACUGAGAGAAAUAAAUGUUUUU